rnacentral:rRNA from 1 species
GACGAACGCUGGCGGCGUGCUUAACACAUGCAAGUCGAACGGAAAGGCCCUGCUUUUGUGGGGUGCUCGAGUGGCGAACGGGUGAGUAACACGUGAGUAACCUGCCCUUGACUUUGGGAUAACUUCAGGAAACUGGGGCUAAUACCGGAUAGGAGCUCCUGCUGCAUGGUGGGGGUUGGAAAGUUUCGGCGGUUGGGGAUGGACUCGCGGCUUAUCAGCUUGUUGGUGGGGUAGUGGCUUACCAAGGCUUUGACGGGUAGCCGGCCUGAGAGGGUGACCGGCAACAUGGGGACUAAGAUACGGCCCAAACUCCUACGGGAGGAAGCAGUGGGGAAUAUUGCACAAUGGGGGAAAGCCUAAUGCGGAAACGCGGCGUGGGGGAUAACGGCCUUCGGGUUGUAAACCGCUUUCGCCUGUGACGAAGCGUGAGUGACGGUAAUGGGUAAAGAAGCACCGGCUAACUACGU